AUAUGUAAUGAGGUAAUGUUCAGUGAUGGUUUGUUAUUUUUUUUAAUUUCAGAAUGGAACUCAACAAAAUCCUUAACACAAGGCCUUCUUCCCCAUACUGGACUCCUCCACCUUUACACGUCCAUGUACUGGCUGAGAGGGAAAGUGCCCGUGUAGUUUCCUGGGAGUUUGGAAUAGAUUCGGCUGAGGCCAAAAUAACAAAAAUUAACAAAGUGGUGGCCAUCACAGAUGGCCACACAGUGUCUAAAGUGACAUUAUUUGAGGAAUUGCGACACAAAUUGGAAGAAAAAAAAAACUACAUAAUUAAAAAUUAUUAUUUAAAAGGAGACACCCCACCACUACACAUUAUGGUCAGUAAAAAAACCAACUUCUUUAAAAGCUCCCCAGUGGAGCUCACAUGCGAGGGCCUGCCGGAGGCAGCAAAGGCUCUACUCUUUCCAUCUUCCAAGGUGGUGAAACUGAUGGAAUGGAAAGGUGUUGGUGGCCUCCUGACUGUUGAAGGUCAGGUUGUACAAGUAAGUUUUUUAUUAUUUCUCAUGCAAACAGUAGACCAUUUCCUGGAAGUUUAAUACCAUGUACAUCUUUGGGGUGGGGGAUUACACACAUAAAGAUUUACAAAUAGUAAAUAUCUUUAAAUUGUUGCUUUGUUUCUCUAAUAAUAAUGGUGGAUGAAAGGACUGAGACACCUGUCCUCCAGCUGUAUGUUGUGUGGUCAUCAAUCUUGGGAAAGAAAACUCAGAAGCAGUUCUUUGGAUGUAGGUGGCUUUGAUGUCAGCGGUGCCUCAAACACACCUUUAAUACAGCAGCAGGAGGCAAAAUCAUUAAUGCAUCUCCAGUACAGUAACAUUACAGCUCCCAACAUGCAGGCUACUAGUCUCAACUGAGAGAUGAGAGAGCUGCGCACAUUUAAAAUGCUGGUAAUCCUAAGGUAUCAACAGAAACAUUGCACGCUAACAUAAAAAUAGCACAAUUAUUAAACAUAAAAAAACAAACCUGCACCAAAUGUCACACAAUCCAACUAUUGUGCACAAAUAAACUGAAAUAACCCAAAACAAACCUUCAAAACAGCAGGAGGCAAAAAUCAGCAACUAAUCUCCAGUAUAGCAACAUUAUAGCUCCUGCCAUUUACCAUUUAAUCUCAUUGUGUAGAUCUCCAAUGUGAAGAAGAUACGGAGUGGCGGUGGAGACGUUCCUCUGCGUCAGAUCACUUUGAAGCAGGGUGACGUUCAGGCUUAUGUCUCUCUGUGGAGGGAGGCAACAUUAGAAACACCUGAACUGGGGGCCAGCAUACAGAUUUCUCACGUGAGAGGAUCCAAGGGCCAGCUGCAGUCAACUGGACACACAAAGAUUGAGAAGGUUGCAGUCCAGACCAUAAUGGUGGUUAUAGAAGUCUUGGGUGCUGAGGAGACUGAAGAAGGAGAGUUCCAGCUGCUCCUCUCCAAUGGGGAUCAACCCCACAUCAAACAAUCAUUCUGGGAACCAUUCGAAAACCUCCUUGAAAAAGGGAAACUCGUUGUAAAGUUGGAGAUCCAAGGUGGCUGGGUCACAAAAAUAGAACCCUCCACUGAAAAAAAUGAAAUGUAAGAUUUUGGAUUUUGUAAAUAGUUCCAUUUGAUGUGUAAUAUUUGGCUGUUCAAUGUUAAGAUGUUAGUAGAAUUGUUAGGUAUUUAGAAAAAAAAUUGCUGUUAUGUUCUAUAGGUAUUUGGUUAAUAUUUAGUAGCUUUUUGAUGUUUCUUUAGGUGUUUAGUCUGUGGCUGUAUUAAUUUUACUUAAUCAAAUAAUCUGUA